ensembl:miRNA
AAGGUAUUAGGUUGGUGCAAAAGUAAUUGUGGUUUUUGCUAUUACUUUUAAUGGCAAAAACCACAAUCACUUUUGCAACAGCCUAAUA